ensembl:lncRNA
AGCAUGUUCAUGUUUAACAGGCUUAUUUCAAGUAUAACAUGUCAGCUACAAGAUUUGUGGGAGGACAUUUGUUCAAUGAUGAACAUCUACAGUAGAAAAAUAGUAUUUCCUAAUGUGUCUUUUCUGAAAGUCAACAUUAUUAGACAUUGUACAUUUUCCAUGGUAAUUUUGAGAGCCUCUGAAUGUUCCUGUCAGAUGUUUGUCCCAGACCCUCAGUCUACAGGCAAAUGUAAUAUCUGGACACCUAUGUUUCAAUAGCAGCUGGCAGCCAUUAGAUAUUAUCAGUCUCUUUGUCUGUAGUGCUUUCUGCAGUUGACCAUGUAGAUGUUUUAUUUAGGCAAGUCAGUUAAUUAAGAACAAAUUCUUAUUUUCAAUGACUGCCUAGGAACUGCCUGUUCAGGGGCAGAACGACAGAUUUGUACCUUGUCAGCUCAGGGGUUUGAACUUGCAACCUUCCGGUUACUAGUCCAACGCUCUAACCACUAGGCUACCCUGCCGCCCAUGUAUAUCCUGGUCCCAGAUGUUUUUGUGCUGUCUUGUCAAGUCCUGACUUUAGGAUUCACUAAUACACAAUAUAUAGAUCAGCAACCGGGCUGGAGGAUGUACAGUCAGACACAUAUUCUUUUCCUCAUUGAUUAUAUCUAUUCCACAGCUGAAAUUGAUUGAAUAGUUAAUACUGUACAUACAGUACAUACAUAACACUCAUACGAUAAAAUAAGAUGUUUCCUGAUUAAUUGAGUGGAACUAGUUGGUAGAUAGCUAAACAGAAUGAAGGAGAAGUUUGGUCACAUGUGGUUCAGUUGGUAGAGAAUGCUGCUUUAAAUGCCAGGGUUGUGGGUUCAAUUCCCACUGAUGAUCAUAACAAAAAAUAUGAACAUCUAUUCACUCACUACUUUAAGUCACUCUGGAUAAGUGUAUCUGUUCAAUUACUAAAAUGUGAAAACCUGGUGUGUUCUAUUCCAGGUGCUGGAGGUUUGUAGAGCAUCAUGGGAAGCAGUAGAGGGUGCACAUGGCUACCCAGUUCAGCAGGCAUCAGCUAUUGAGGGCAGCUUCAGAAGCCAGGCUAGCAAGGAGCAGAGUUCACGUCGUCUCCAGAGGGUGGUGCUGCGUAGUGCCAUGUGAUGGAAAUAGCGGGCACUGUGUGCACCACACAGGGCAAACCAGCACAGAGAGAUAGCAGUUCCGCCCAGAAAGAGUGUGACCUUCUGUCUGCCUAAUCUUGACCCAGAUGGCUGUACCUAGACACAGUGGCACAGUGGAGCAGGGAUCAAGGAUCAGAAGACAACAUUUUCAACCAUCUGUAUGUUAAAGGUUAUGAUGCC